rnacentral:rRNA from 1 species
UACAGAGGGGGCAAGCGUUGUUCGGAAUUACUGGGCGUAAAGGGCUCGUAGGUUGCCAACUAAGUCAGACGUGAAAUCCCUCGGCUUAACCGGGGAACUGCGUCUGAUACUGGAUGGCUUGAGUUCGGGAGAGGGAUGCGGAAUUCCAGGUGUAGCGGUGAAAUGCGCAGAUAUCAGGAGGAACACCGGUGGCGAAGGCGGCAUCCUGGACCGGCAUUGACGCUGAGGCGCGAAAGCUAGGGGAGCAAACGGG